GGUGGCUCAAUGGUAGAGUGCUUGCUUAGCAUGCAUGAGACCCUGGGUUCGAUUCCUCAGCACCA
rnacentral:tRNA from 1 species